UAAGGAAUAUUGGUCAAUGGACGCAAGUCUGAACCAGCCAUGCCGCGUGAAGGAUGAAGGUCCUCUGGAUUGUAAACUUCUUUUAUCUGGGACGAAAACGGGAUUUUUAUCUCAAUUGACGGUACCAGAGGAAUAAGCACCGACUAACUCCGUGCCAGCACCCGCGGUGAUACGGAGGGUGCGAGCGUUAUCCGGAUUUACUGGGUUUAAAGGGUGCCUAGGUGGGCUUAUAAGUCAGUGGUGAAAUCUCCGAGCUUAAC
rnacentral:rRNA from 1 species